rnacentral:piRNA from 1 species
UGGUCCACAGCAGGUCAAGAAAUGCCAUU